UACGUAGGGUGCAAGCGUUAUCCGGAAUUAUUGGGCGUAAAGAGCUUGUAGGCGGUUUGUCGCGUCUGCCGUGAAAUUUCGAGGCUCAACCUCGAACUUGCGGUGGGUACGGGCAGACUAGAGUGUGGUAGGGGAGACUGGAAUUCCUGGUGUAGCGGUGAAAUGCGCAGAUAUCAGGAGGAACACCGAUGGCGAAGGCAGGUCUCUGGGCCACUACUGACGCUGAGAAGCGAAAGCAUGGGGAGCGAACAGG
rnacentral:rRNA from 1 species